rnacentral:lncRNA from 1 species
GUAUUGUCUAAGGGCUAGUGGAGCAGGCACUGGCUCUCCUGUCAGCCCCAGAUUGUUGCUCAUCAAGCUAGUCAGACAAAUGGCUUGUGCUUCUCUCUUUCUCCCUCUGGCCAAAUUUUAGUGUUAAGAAAGCCACAGCUAUAAAAAUUAUAAAAUUUAUAAGUUAUUUUGUAUAAGGUGUUGAGAGAAAAUACUUGAUGUCUUCAUUCCCUCUGAUGUAUAUUUUCAGAUAUGUUCUCUUUAUUUUUGUUAAAUCACUUUUUAAAAAAAAUGUAUGGCAUGAACAUGCGUUUAAGGGGAAGUUUAGGUUUCUUUUCCCUUCUAAGUAUAAUCAAUACUGUGAUACCUUAGACAAUUCAAGCAAGAACUAGUAAUCAUUGUAGUUUACUUUGGUUUUAUUUAAGGGAGGGAGAAAUAAUAUCUUUAAUAUGUCCAGACAUUGAAACCCUAAUGUUAGCUUACUAACAUUCGUGUGGUCUGAUAACAGUAUGUAGCUAUCAGCUGAAUAAUGGAAUUGAAUUACUCCUUGGUCUCUAAAAUACACUGUUGAGGUAUCUUAAAAUGUCUAUAAAACUGUGUUUCUUUUAUAUACUUAAAAGAAUUGAGUUGCAUUCUAUUCCACCAAUUUAUGCAUGUAAUAAACCCUGGAAGUCUAGGAAAAUAAAAGUGUUAACACCAAGAAACUGUGGGAGUAACCUUAGUUCUCCAAAGUUAGUGAUUGUAUUAUAUCAUACUACAUUCUGAAGAGUUAAACAAAUGUACAUACUACAUUCUUUGAAAAAUCCAUUGGUCAAAUAGGGAUAUACUUGUGAAUGGAAGUAAGAUGGACUUGCAAACAACUUAGUGGCUUAUUUAGGUCUUUGGUAGGAAGUUCCUUUUAUCUCAGCUGUGUGAUUAUAUUAGCUAUAUAUAUGUGCAUAUAUAAGAUGCUGAAUGUCAAUUCAUGGGAAACUAAGCAACUGAAAGUUGGAAUAGUUAUUUUAUUUCCUACUGGGAAUUGCUUACAUGAAGUCAGGUCCAAUUUUCUAAAAAGAGGACUUCUAUUGUGGGCUAGAAGAAAAGUCACCUGCUCUGAUCUGGGGUUUGCCUUUAAUCACUCUUAAAUUACAGAUAAUAGAAUUGAGAUUUAGUAUUACAUUUGUUGAAAAACUAAAUUUGUAAUAUUCUAUAAUGUGUUAUACUUCAACAUGGAUUAGUAUUUGAAGAUAGCAUUUUAUAGCAGUGAAAAGUUAAGAAGCUAGUCUGCAUUAGGUAAAUUGCUUAUAAACCAUGUAGACCAGUGUUCCUGGUUCCCUGCCUUCUAGGGUUUUAAAUGGUACAGCUUUUAACAUUUCAAGGUAUAGAGAUAAUACAUAUAUAAAGAGUGAAAAAAAAAAUUAUAAAAUUUAGCUACAGUCUCCAGAUAAUUUUAAUCAUUACCCCUGGAUAUUCCAAGUUUCUAGAGGAAUCCCAGAUCAAAAGAAUAUGUGAAGAAUUCCUCAAUCAUGGACCCCAGGAAUGUUGGUGGUAGAAGAAAGGGAGCCUUGGUGCAACUAAAGAGACAAC